UCUCUUAUGACUCAGGUUAUUGACAGCUGGGAAAAGGCACACACCUCUGACUGAUGGUGACCCAAAAAGAAAUCAUAGAGAAGCAAAUUUGGCUCCACUGGUUUGAUUUUUCCUUCCUUCCUCCUUACACAUCCAAGGAGGUUUUGCUCUGGAAAUCUCUUGCUAUGGAAUGCCUAACAAACCUGAACCAGGAAACCCUUUACCAACAGGAAGUGACCCAGUCUUUCUGCAUGGCAGGUGGCCACGCUGCCACCUGCUCCCUUCCUGUUAGUCAUGACUCCAAGGGUCUUGACAGAGGGUAGUGACAGGCAACUGGAGAUCUGGAAAGAAAAUCUCUCUUCAAAGGUUUGCUGUGUUGCAAACGCCAGGGGACAUCAGUCACAGAGACCUGAAUGUACACAGCACCCCCUGGAGUUGGCAAUGCGGAGGCUCUGGCUGUUGAUCCCAAAGAAGAUUUAAAUUGCAGUCCAUUAUAUUUUUCUCUCAGACUUCUGUUUCUUUGAAUAUUCCAAAUAGAUUAAAAUAUAAUCUGGAAUCUUAAGUGCCUUAGUCUUAUUUAGGUAACAAUACUAUCUAAGAAAAACUCUAGAAGAAUUCACAACAAAUUGCUAACUAUAGUUAUCUCUGGCAGAGGAAGUAGCAUGGGAAAGGCGUGGGAAAAUUUUUUACUUUGACUUUUUUUUCACCUGUGUACUUAUGUAUAAUUUGUGUGGAAUAAAUAAAAUAAUAAAUAUACAUGAUAAAAUUUCAAAUAAAAGUUAAAAAAAUUACGGGGCACUCCUCCUUGAGCCUAUAUGAUGGUUUUGAAAUACUAUUCAAAAAGAACCAGGACUUCUUAGAGAAAUGACUGAGUGCAGGUCUCGGGCAGGAAAUGUACAAGAUGAGCCUGGCACCUCUUAUUAAUACCACAUAGCAAGAAAGGUACGAAGAUGACUAGGGCCAUGGCAAAAGGACUCAUGAACUAACUUGAAGAGGCUUCUACUGACCAAAGACAGAGCAACUUAAGCAUCAAUAAAGAUAAUAACUGCAAUGGCUAUGAUGAAAUACAUUAUGAAUGCAUAAAGUUCAUACUAAUGUUAAACAAAAUGAAAAUUAAUUGGUCAUACUGGGUAGAUGAUGGGGAACUAACAAAUUAUUUUAAAAAUUGGUAAAUCCAGGCAAAGAAUCUAGCAUUUAUUGUAACUUUUUUUUUUUUUUUUGAGACAGAGUUUUGCUCUUGUU
rnacentral:lncRNA from 1 species